UGCGCUCGCUAUCUCCACGCGCACCGCCAAAGGUAGGUACACGCCACGCGUUUUCAUAAUAUAUAUAUUAUAUAUAUAAUUAUAAUAUGAUGAUUAUACUACAUAUAGGGUAGGUACUUGGUUAAAGGUAAGGUCGGCCGCAAGGAAGACUUAUGAAUUAAUAGGAAUCUUCAAAUCAGUCUAACAACACGAGGCGGUUAGACAAGAUAUCGCGGACGUCAAACUAAAAUACACGAAACGUGCGCAUUUUCAUCCAAGCCCAGAAAACCUAUUGUGCCUACGCCGAACGUUUUGGAAAAAUUACGAAAGCGGCACACUUCAGAACAUUGCCUCAAGGCUUAAAUACUUCUUUCAGAAAAUAUUUUGUUUUUGAUGUAAAUAUAUAGGUAUAGUAGGUAGAGUUCCAACGCACACGUCGACCGGUAUAAUUUACAACGAACCAAAAAAAUCAAAUUGUUCGCUGGUACCUACUAUUUUAUAUAGAUAUGGAAAUACCUAUACCUGUUCUGUUCGAUCUAUAUUCUGCUGUCCUGAAUCAAAACAGGAUAACUAUCCAGUCAAUACGAUUGUUGAGAAACAGCAAAUAAUGUUUUGAACAGUAAAUCAAGCCUUAAAGAAGUGCUUAUACAAAAGAUUGAUCAAUACUUGUGCUGAUAUUUCUAACUGUAUAUCUAAAGUUGGUCGAACACUUAGAAUUUCAACUUUUUUGAGUUUUUAAGGAAAAAAUGAACUUACCCUAAAGUAAUUAAGCUCCGUCAGCCUGGCACUCCAAAAGUGAAAUUUCGUAAUUUUUUUUUUUAGAUAAUUAAUAACCAAUUUGUAACCCAAGAUUUGGAAUUUGUAACACAAAAUGUCACCCUUAAAUUAACGUUCCGAUGUUAGGGGUGCUGAGCUGACGUCAGCCCAACGCCCAAAAAUGAAAUUUCGUAAUUUUUUUUUUAAGAUAAUUAGUAACCAAUUUGUAAUAAUGGACUUACCGGAUUAUCGCUUAGUCUUUUUUGGACAUAACUAGUUUUAACCUAAAUCGUUACUAUGUCACGUCAAUACCAUUUUUCUCCAACGUAGAUAAUAUGAACCAUUAUAUAAGCCAAAAUCCAGUAACUCCAUUAUUUUUCAUGUGAUAUACCGAGUUUUUGUUUAAUAUUUAUAGAUUUACCGUGUUUUUGCUUACGAAACAUCUAAUAUAUUGGACUUAGGUACUGUA